ensembl:lncRNA
GUUGAUAACAGAAGCCAUUCAGCUGAAACAUUAAAUGGUGAUGAACAGGAUGCAAUUAAGCCUGUAACCUGUUAUGAUCACCCGAAGGAUCAUUUGGAAAUGGGAACUCUUCCCAAUGAGCUGUUCAGAUGGUGCACACUGGAGCUCUUAAUUCAAUGGCUGUGUCCAUCCUUUCAGAGCAAGAGAGCCUUUCUGAAGAGACUAUCAGCUGGUAGAGUUGGUGACAAGUUGGAGAGCUCCUUUCCAUCCUGGCGCUCUGCAUGAUCUGAGUGGAUCCUGUGGCUGUUCCAGUCAACAGAAUAUGGCAGAAGUGAUGCUAAAUGGUUCUGAGGCUCUUCCCACUCAAUCUCUGCCCGGUGUCCUGGGACAUUUAUUCUGGUGGAGAGAUAAUUCCAGUAUAAGAGGUACAGCUACCCUGGAGGGCCACGUCUAUAGACCCUGUUGAGCAACCAGCUGACAGCAGCAUCCAGUGGCAGCCAUCUGUGUGAGCCAUCUGGGACGUCCAGUCUAGUUGGGCCCAUAGAUGAUCACAGCAUAGCCAACAUCUGACCACAACUAUGAAAAACCCCGUAUGAGAACUGCCCAGCCAAGCCCUUUGCAGAUUCCUGACUCAUAAAACUAUGAGAAAAAUCAAAUUGUUGUUUUACUCCACUAAGUUUUGGAAUGAUUUGUAAUGCAGGAUCAUUAACCAGGGCACAUAGCAACACUGAAGGGUCACUGCAAGGACUGAGUGAGAGAAC